AGUAGUGCGAGGGGGAAGCCACUGGAGCAGCUGCACUUGUGUCCACUACCGUUGUCUUUAGAAGCCAACUGGUGCCGCGGUGUGUCGAAUAUCUGCGGGAAUUGGCCAGGUGAGGCCAGUUGUGGGCCAGUUGAUAGCGAGCUACUACUACCUGGAACAGAACCUGCCCCAAUAACAUCAUCGCCCCCUGUAGGGUCUGGUAGGAGGCUGUUGCAGCUCUGCUCACCCCCUCCACUCUCAUUUACACACACAGCCAUUCACUAAGCUCUGGCUCAUGGACAAUUUGCAUCCCACAGACCGUUCUCGUUAUUUGGACGUGGCGUUCAUCUCUCAUGAACAAAGAAUAUAGUCCUAGUGUGUUGUCUUUAAUCUGAGUACUACUUUUUCUGAGUUGUAUUGUGGUUUUUUUCUGUGAACUACUGAAUCAACGGAACUGAAUUUCCUCAAGUGCACUUUAUCAAAACCAACUUCUCUGCAGAUUGUAAAUAUUUGGGGUUUUGUUAUUGUUUUUGUCUUUGUUUUCACUUAAUACAUGGCACCAACACCAAAUCUAA